rnacentral:lncRNA from 1 species
UGCCCUAAGCGGCUGAGAGGCAGGGCCCCACCCCGGCGCGAGGCCGGGCAGACCCGGCACGCCAGGGCCGGCUCACCACAGGCCGCGCGGAGCCUGGCCGCACUCAAACGCGCGGGGCAGUUCCGGCAGCUGGCGCGGGCCCGGCCCCUCAGCCCCGCCCCGGCACCAGGCGCACGUGGGCCCCAAGCGGCUCCGUGGGGGGUUGCUCGCGCCCCUCACUUACCGGCCGCUACAGAGCGAGGCCCCGGUAGCCCCGCCCCCUGCAACGUCCAGUCGCGUCCCCGGCCUAGGCCGGCCUGUGCGACUGCGCAGCUUCCGGCACGUGGGAAGCAGCGGCCCCUGGGGAGCGAGGGGGCAAGGUCAGGCGCAGUUAAGCCGGGGGAUGCGUGGGGCACGGUCACGUGCAGCUCCGAGUGCGUGACGUCACAAACCACGCCCCCAUGGGGGUCAUACGCCUCUUCCCGCCGCAGCAGGGCAGUGACCGGAGGUCCCUGCUCCUCCUCCGGGAGAGCGACCGAGACACGGACCAAUCCCCCCCCGCCGCGGGAAGGGACAGACCGACACCCAGCCACGGGGGACAGAGAUCCUGCUCCCCCCUGAGCACAGCUGGGCGGGGAGGACACGGGGGAAAUCCACCCGCGCCUGGAGCAGGGAGCGAACCGCUCCCCUUCUCCCCGCUGCACAGUUCAGUGAGCUGUAAGAUGAGCUGUUUCCCUAAUUGCAAUACAUUGACUCUACCAUUUGGAGGAGCCUGUGCCACAGAAUGAUAAACUGAAGUUAUCAGGCAAAGAAGAGUCUUCACUUGUGAAACAGUCGGAACACAACCCAGAGGUCCUUGGUCAGUUCAGGUAAAUGCUAGAUCCUGAUUAGAUUUAUUAUGUUUUUAGCAUAUUAAAGUUUAACAUGAGUUAGUGUGACUUUUGGGGCUUUGUGCUGGUUAGUUGAACACCAACUAUUCUUCAAAUGAAGUGCCACUCACAUUUUGUCAGUAGAAUGCAUAGGAAAUUGUAGCAUUAGAAAAUUAGUUCAGCGACACUUCAAGCCAUCACGCUUUUUGAAAGAGAUGGAGUUUAUCAUCUUUUUGUAAUGAGACAAUUCUGCUUUUUGGUAAGUCUAUUCAGUGUUUUCCUAUCUGCUUUUUUCAUUUCUCUUUACUGUGGCAGCUCCUAUGCAUCUGUCUUUCUGAGUCAUUAGACUCAAUUCUGUUGUUAAAAAAACAAACAUAAAGUUUCCAUAACUUGGAAAGUUGCAGAAGCCCUGAGAAAAAAUCUGCUUCUGCAGCUUUCUGUGACAUGGAAGCCAGACAGGUUUUAUGCUUAAAAGGAUCCUUACAUUUUUAGAUAAUAGUGUUGGGUCAUAGUUUCUGUACAUCAAAUGGAACUAUAUUUCCAUAAUAGUAAUCUUGAUUUGAUGUUUUCCAUAAUGGCGGCUAAUUGCUUUUACACUGCAAAUAUUGCCAUUAACCUGUGUGGGUACUAUACUUAGUUUAAAUCUGCACAAAUAAAUGUUAUUUUACUCUUCUGUUACUAAGUCUU